rnacentral:lncRNA from 1 species
GAGAAAUUAAGCUUUUCCUGUUUGGAAGAAGAGACUCAGAAUGUAGGGCAAAAGAAAGCACAGGGAAGCAGGGAGGCCCAGAGCCAGAUCCCAGAGAAGAGUGAAGUGCAGAAUUCAGAGGCAAUGCUUACAUUGCCCAGGACUCCUCUCAGUAACGUGCAUGAACUCAACACACCUCGGGAAAAAGAAAAAGAAGAUCCAGAUCAGAUUUUGAGGACUCCAGUGUCACACCUUCUCAAAUAUCCUGAGACACCAGGCCAACCAGGCAACAGGAACAAGCAGCCACAUGGUGCCAGCCCCUCUACUCCCAAAAGCCCGCUGAGCCAGACGUUAUUUCUCCAACAGCAAAGCCUCCUUCCAGAGGCUCUAAGCAUUUGAUGCUCACAUCCACUCCUCCCAAGGAUGAGAUGACCUCACUGGCUCUGGUCAAUACUAAUCCCUUCACCCCAAAGUCCUAUAGAAAAUUAUUCCUUCAAUCCAGUGUCAAGAGGAAAAUUCGAGAUGAUCUUGAGGAAGCUGGUCCAGAGGAAGGCAAGGAAGAACAAGGGCUGCCUGCUGAGACAUGUGUUCUAUGAGAAACCAACAUGGCUUCCUACUAUAAAAAAGAAUGCUCGGAGGUAGAAAAAAUUGGGGUUGGUGAAUUUGGUACAGUCUACAAGUGCAUUAAAAGCCUGGAUAGAAGUGUUUAUGCAAUAAAGCACUAUAUGAAAACUUUUUCAGGAUUUCACCUGAGAAUUUGGCUUUGCGUGAAGUUUAUGCUCAUACAGUGUUUGGACAUCACCCCACCUGGUACAUUACUACCCCUUACAGGCAGAAGAUAACCAUAUGAUCAUUCAGAAUGGAUACUGCAAUGGCAGGAGCUUGCAGGCUGCUAUAUCUGAAAACACUAAGUCUACUAAUCACUUCCAAGAGCCAAAACUCAAGGACAUCCUUCUACAGAUUUCCCUUGAACUUAAAUACAGCCACAACUCUGGCAUGGUGCACCCGGACAUGAAACCUUGUAAAACCUUCCUUUGUCACAAGAUGCAAAGUGACUCCUCUGGAGUCACAGAAGUUGAAAAUGAAGCUGAUUAGUUUCUCUCUGCCCAUGUGAUAUAUAAAAUUGGUGACCUAGGCCAUGUGACAUCAAUAAGCAAACUCAAAGUGGAAAAAGCAGAUAGUUGCUGCCUAGCAAAUGAGAUUUUGCAAGAGGAUUAUUAGUACCUUCCCAAAGCAGACCUAUUUGCCUUGGGAUUAAUCACUGCAAUGGCUGAAGGAGUAAGGACAUUACCCAUCAACAGUGCUGCAAGGCACCAUAACCAUGAGAGUAACUUCCCAGACAUUCCUCAGGAGCUCUCAGAAGACUUUUACAGUCUGCUCAAGCACAUGAUCCACCCUGAUCCAGGAGAGAGACCUUCUGCAGCAGCUCUGGUCAGAAAUUGGCCCUGGCCCUCCCUGGGGAAAGCAGAAGAGCUCUAGCAGCAGCUGAAUUUGGAAAAGUCCAAGACAGCUGCACUGGAAAGGGAACUAAGGGAAGCCCAGCAGGCCCAGUCCCUGCAGGGAGACUUCCAUCAUGGUGACCCUCGGGUCUUUGGGACCACACGGGAUCAGAAAACACCAAAUGCCUGGUAGGAGGAAAGAGUGCAAGGUCUUCAAGCUUUACCUCAGGACAGCAUGAGCCUCUGAAC